rnacentral:tRNA from 3 species
GCCCUCGUAGCUCAGCGGAAGAGCACCGGACUUCUAAUCCGAUGGUCGCUGGUUCGAAUCCAGCCGGGGGCG